GACGAACGCUGGCGGCGUGCUUAACACAUGCAAGUCGAACGGAAAGGCCCUGCUUUUGUGUGGUGCUCGAGUGGCGAACGGGUGAGUAACACGUGAGUAACCUUCCCUUUACUUUGGGAUAACUUCAGGAAACUGGUGCUAAUACCUGAUAGGAGCUCCUGCUGCAUGGUGGUGUUUGGAAAUUUUAGGCGGUUGUGGAUGUACUCGGGGCUUAUCAGCUUGUUGGUGGGGUAGUGGCUUACCAAGGCUUUGACGGGUAGCCGGCCUGAGAGGGUGAACGGCGACAUUGGGACUGAGAGACGGACCAGACUCCUACGGGAGGAAGCAGUGGGGAAUAUUGCACAAUGGGCGGAAGCGUGAUGAAGAAACGCCGCGAGCGGGAUGAAGGCCUUGGGGGUGUAAACCGCUUUCGCCUGUGACGAAGCGGGAGUGACGGUAAUGGGUAAAGAAGCACCGGCUAACUACGUG
rnacentral:rRNA from 1 species